AGGCUUACGAGGCCCGUGUGGGGUAGGAAGGGUCUUUCCUCGUCCGGGACACUCUGGCACGACCAUGGACCGUAGGAAAAAGCCUUUGGACGUCACGGCCUCUUCGUUGGUAGAUCUUAAGGCUGAACUCUUCCGAAAGCAAGAAGAAUUCAAACAAGAAAAACUUCUAAAAGAUUCUGGAGUUUUUGGAAAACCAAAAACAACUAACAAGAAACCAAGUAUCUGGAGCAAACAGAAUGUAGGCGUUUCAAAUCGAGCUGAGAAGGAUGCUGAACAGAAGAUUGAAGAACAGAAGACUUUAGACAAAGCAAGGGAAAAAUUGGAAGAAAAAGCCAAAUUAUAUGAAAAAAUGACUAAAGGAGACUUUAUAGAUGAAGAAGUGGAGGAUAUGUACCUUGUGGAUUUCACACAGAAGAUCAUAGACAAGCGCAAAGAAAUGGAGGCAUCUGGUGCCCAUAGAGAUUCUCAAAAGGCAGGAGAAAGGGACGAUGAUGAGGAAAACCUUCCUGAGGGAGAGAUCCCUCCUCCCCAAGACCCCAGUGAAGAAUGGGUGGAUUAUGUGGACUCUUUGGGGCGUUCCCGGCGCUGUAUGAGAAAGGAUUUGCCAGAUCUGCUAGAGAUGGAUAAAAAUCUUCAGGGGAGACUUUUUAUUAGUCCUGCUAAUGAAAAAACCCUAUUAUCUGAAGAUAUGAGAAAAGAACUUCAGCGCCAGCAAUGGGAGGAAGAAGAAAGAGAGGCCCUGAAGAGGCCCAUGGGGCCCGUUCAUUAUGAAGACAUUCGGGAAAAUGGUAUGACUAUUUUGCAGCUUUGCAAAUCUUAUUUUUAAUCUUAAACUGAUGGCAAACAUAAAGGGAAGUAUUCAUAAAGCAAUAGCUUUUACAUGGAAAUUAAAGAUUCUGCUUUGGAAAUAGAAAAUAUCUCCUUUGUUCACUUCAUAGCCUUAAAAUACUCACAUUGGGACUAUCUUCCUGACAGAGGGUCUGGUAAUCCAAGAUUGUUCCCCGAGAGAAGUGGAGACAGCCCAUGGCUGAAAGCAAGCGAACCCUUGUUAUGCUUCCCUUGGCAAACAGGAUGAAAACUUGGUCUAACUGUUGUGUUUCUUUGGUUUUUUGUUUCUUAGCUUAGCUGUUUUC
rnacentral:sRNA from 1 species